rnacentral:rRNA from 1 species
UACGGCGGGUGCAAGCGUUAUCCGGAUUCACUGGGUUUAAAGGGUGCGUAGGCGGGCAGGUAAGUCCGUGGUGAAAUCUCUGAGCUUAACUCAGAAACUGCCAUGGAUACUAUUUGUCUUGAAUAUUGUGGAGGUAAGCGGAAUAUGUCAUGUAGCGGUGAAAUGCUUAGAUAUGACAUAGAACACCAAUGGCGAAGGCAGCUUACUACACAGUUAUUGACGCUGAGGCACGAAAGCGUGGGGAUCAAACAGG